GACGGAGGAUGCAAGCGUUAUCCGGAAUGAUUGGGCGUAAAGCGUCCGCAGGUGGCAGUUCAAGUCUGCUGUCAAAGACCGGGGCUUAACUUCGGAAAGGCAGUGGAAACUGAACAGCUAGAGUAUGGUAGGGGCAGAGGGAAUUCCUGGUGUAGCGGUGAAAUGCGUAGAGAUCAGGAAGAACAUCGGUGGCGAAGGCGCUCUUCUGGACCAUAACUGACACUCAGGGACGAAAGCUAGGGGAGCGAAUGGG
rnacentral:rRNA from 1 species